GCCGCGUGGCGACGGCCGCGUCGCCGCCGUUGGCGCCACCACCCCCACCCCCCUCAUCGAGGACCGCGCGGAUCUCCUCGGCGCGGCGGAGGUACUCGGUGAACUUGGCGGUGAUGGCCUCCUUGAUCUUAGGGUUCUUCUCGUACUUGAGGUGGGUCUUGAAGUACUCGAGCGCGUUCAUGUAGAGCGGGAACGCCUUGACGUAGUUGCCGGCAUUGUCCUCCUGCACCGCCUGCUUCACGUACUCGAUCGCCUGCUCCUUGAAGUUGCUGUACAUCGGGGGCGAAGGCGGCGCCGCCGCCGGCCGCGCGCGCGCGGGGGGGCCGGCCGGAUUACGGCGGAUCGGAGUGGGGAUCGGGCCCCGGCGGCGCGGAUUGGGGUCGCCGGUGGCGGAUUCGGCGGCGGCGGCGGUUGCUUCGGGGUGGGGUUUGACGCGGUGGGGAGGAGGAGAAGACGAGGAGGAGGAGGAAAGGGGAAGGAAGAUGUAGAGGGGAAAAAAAGGGAAAAGAGGAGAAGGGAGAAGCGUGUUUUCUUUUCCUGUUUUUGUUCCUUUUUUAGUUUUUUUAUUUACUUAUUAUUGUUACUGGAUUUUCGAGGAGAAAAUAUUUUUGGUGUUUGGAAGUUUUGGGUUUAGGUCCUUUCUUAGCUUGCUUAUUUUGAGAGAAGACCUUCUGUAAUUGUUCGAGUUGAGUCCAAGUGAUAUUAGCUCAUCUCCGAUAGGUUUAUAUUUAGGUUGUGUUCUUUACCCUGUUUUUCCAACUCGUCACCCUUAUUUUUUACAUGCAUACUUUAAAAAUUGCUAAAUAUGUGUUUUUUCACAAAGAAAAAGAAAAAAUACAUGAAAAUUGCUUUAAAAACAUAUUAAUCUAUUUUUAAAAAAAUAGCAUGUACUUAAUCAAUCAUGCGCUAAUGAGUGAUUUCGUCUUGCAUGCAUGAUGGAUUAGUUACCAAUACCAGCAAACGACCAUAGCCUUAGGGUUGUUUACGACAAAGGAAAUUUACAUCUAAACUUUUGUUCCUUAGUUUUUUUUUCUCUUUUUAGGAAAUGCUCUUGUUUGGGUUGGAACUCAAAAAAAAGGCGUUUGUGGCUAUAUUUGAAUUGCAACCAUCCCAAUCUUUAUAUGCGUGGUUCUUGUCGUGUUGUCCAUGCCAACAUAUAUGUUACAGUCACCUGUUUUUCUAUCCACUACAUGCACUUCACUUCAUUGUCUAAAGAGGGAUGAGCAAGCAAAGGUUAUCUUUCUCAUGGGUCUGUUAGAUUCCUACUCUUUGAGAGGUAUUGGCUAUUGCCUUAGGUAGCUACAUGGGCUCAUCGGCGCACGUCAAGAUAUACCAAUUUCAUGUGUCAUUGGUAUCGAGUGAUGUAGUGUAUUUUGUAUAAGAUCUAAAAAUGCCAUGGAUCCACCACUCUUUAGAGUAUUUUUUUCUCUUUAAUUAGUACUUCUUCCGUUUCAUAUUAUAAGUUGUUUGACUUUUUUUUCUUAGUCAUUAAAUUUGACCAAGUUUUUAGAAAAAUAUACCAACAUACAAAAGUUACAUAUUACAAAAUAUAUUUAAUGUCAAAUUUAAUGAAACUAAUUUGAUAUUAUAGAUUUUACUAAUUUUUUCAAUAAACUUGAUCAAACAUAAAUAACUUUAACUAAUAAAAAAGUCAACGACUUAUAAUAUGAAACAAUUGAAGUAGAUGUUUAGGAUACUAAUAUGUUUCUCUUACUAAGAGAGGCACUGUAGUUGGUAUCACAAUAUAGCGCACUUCACCCAUGCUCUAAAAGGUAGUAUUCUUAUAUAGAUUCAUUAACAUUCAUAUUAAUCUGAACACAUAUAUGAAACGCAUAUAUAGGUCUAUGAAUGAAUCUAUUUAAAACCCAAAAUGUCCUGCAAUGUGAAACGAAAGAAGUAGAUAGUAGCACCGAAAUACAGGAUAAGUAGAGGUGUAAGCUGAAAAAAGCACACGGGUUGCUGUGUGGCCUGCGACCCCGCCCGAUUGACCCGUCGUCGCGACGCCAACGCACGCGGCUUUCUUUCUUUGCCAAGACGAACGAAAUCACGUUCACGUCGCGGCGCCGCACACGUACAAACCGUGUUUUUUUAGUCUUAACGCGAUCCAUGAAGCGAUGGAACAAACAAAUUAGAGUAGAGUUUAAUAAUUUCUUAAUACUACUACCAACUACGACGAUGAAUCAAUCAGCUAAUAAUACGGUGCUUGUGCAUGCCGUCGAGCAGCAUGGAACACUUAAUUUGUUGCAUUAAUUGGAUUCAAUCUUGUUAGAUUAAUUUAUAUGAAAAUAAUUCCUCGCUUAAUUUGUACUAUGCCACAAGGCUGAAUCCGACGUGUCCCCGCCGUCAUAAGAAGCUCGCCGCCGCGGCGUACAUGGAGAAAGAGAAAGGCCAUGGACAACGUCGGCGACGACUUCGAUCGGGCAGGCGGCCGGCGCUGCUGUUCACGGACGCCAUCCACGCCGGCCAGCGCCGGCACGACGCAGGGCAGCCGACCUCGACCCAACCAACACCUGUGGAAGGCGCGCGCCUGCAUCAGCCGAGGCCGGCGCUGCGCUGCUGCCGGGAGACCCGCGCUUCGCUCGCCUCAUGGACGGAGGAGCUCCGCGACAAGUCGGCGGCUACUGACGAUGCUCGGAAAGGCGGCGAGGGAUCCGGCAUGAUCGAGACGUCGACGAAGGUGAAGAAUGACGACGACGAGGAGAAGCUCGCCGCCAACGCCUCCGCCGCCACACCGAGGCGCUCCCGAUGAAGAAGAAGAAGAAAUGUAUGAGAUGAUCAGACGAGGGACCGACAGGUGGGCACCACAUGUCAAUGAGAGCAACAUUUUCCAAAGAAAAUUUUGGGCCACAACGUGGGCCCACUACCCUUUAUCCCUCAUUUCGGUCACCAAACGGCCCGCACCUUCACCGGGCCCCUAUUCCGGAGGCCCAAAUGAUUUAUAAGCAUCACGCUAUAGAUUUCUGCCUGGGAAAAAGGCUAAUCUGGAUCCCUCAACCUUUGGUCGAAUAUGAUUCAUAUCUCUUAACCGUACAAAACCAGGUAUAACGACUCAUCAAACUAUUAAAACCGGUGCAAAUUUAUUCUCUUGAUAUAUUAAUAGUGACUUUGACACAUUAACCUAGUCUUCAUCGUACUUGGUGUUUACAUGGAAUCAUAAUCAGAGAAAACUAAAUAGGAUCCACAUGUCAUUGGCAAUAUCAAAAACAAAUCAAAAGAAUAUAUUGAGCUCAAAUGUCAAUUACAAUGUGUGGUUCACACAUCAUCCUCUCUCUCUCCCUCUCCUCUCUUAUCUCUCUCUCCAAUGGAGGGGACGACCGAUGAAGAUGGCCCGCCAACGAUGGGGCCUUCCCAUCCUUCCCCAGCGGCGUGCAAAGGCCGGUGAGGCAUAGGAUGAGGCUGGAUCUAGCCAUGCUAUAUCGCGGUGGCCGUGCAUCUUCCGACAAUGGAGGGGAGGGGGGAAGGGGGAAGGGAAGAGAGGUACGAUGGCCCACCGGAGAAAUAUGGCCCGCCUAUCCCAUUGCGGCGUUCAACCCACAUAGGUGCCUGACAUGCAAGACGGCGAGGAAGGUGGAGGGAGCAUGUGGUGAAGAGGGAGCCCAUGACAUGAGGCCAUUGACAGUGAACUCAGACCAUGUUGGACCUACAAGGGGUGGCAAGGGAGGAGAUGCCAUAGGGAAGGACUAGGACCUCAGGGUGGCGUAGUAGUGGAGAUGCCUCUCUGACCCUCUUUCUCUCCAUUUCUCCUCCACCGUCGUCCAUCCGCAUCGGCUUCUCUAUCACCGUCAUUCACCAUGGAUCUAGUGGUGAUGCCGCUGUCCCGUUUUAGCAAGAUUGUCUUGUUGGCAAGGCUAGAGUCUAGCUAUUAAUAAUAUAGAAAAUAUUUUUAUUUAAAGACAAAUAAUGAUUGUCUUAUUCAUGGAUAUAUGGCCAACAAACAAUUAUUUCAGUAGUACUGAAAGCAACAAUUAAUCAUGUAAAUGAUCUACCAUGAUGCAAUUAUAUGCAUAUUUCACUCUCUACACUUUGGCGUACAGAUAAGGUGCAACACACAUCUCCUUAACUUAUUGCCCUUAUCUUUAUUUUAUUUUGUACAUACCUCAAAUUGUACUGGCACAACAGCAUGCUUUAGCCCACACAUUAAGAAAAUUCCUCAUAGGGGAUUUCGUUUUCUUUUGCAUCGUCAAUAUCUCCUCCUCACUUUUCGUUUUUUUCUGCAUUGUCAAUAUCUCCUCCUCACUUUUUUUGAAAGGAACAUCAUGAGAUUGUGGUUUUUCAUUAGAUAGAGGGGAAAUAAAUAUCUCCUCCUCACUGAACUCUUGUGUGAACUUCUCAUACACCACUAGAUCUUUCUUGCUCACCGUUGGUCUCUGCCUCACGAGGACUUCAUCGAAAUCUAUCUUUGAGAUUGGUGGAAGAAGAAUCUACACCCAUACAAUAAUCACACAUUUACAAAUAUUCGAUGAUUCAAAAAUAAUCCAGUAAUCAUUGAUUGAUCAUUUCUUUACCUUGGCAGCCAAACCUUUUGAUGCGAGUUCCUGCAUGGUGGUUUGUAUGGAACCAGGCUGACUCUGUUCACUUGGCGUCCACGUGUCAUCGUCUGCCUUGAUGAAGAACUUGGCAUCCUGUGUUUUCCUCACAGGUUGAAAUAACGCAUCCUUCACCUGUUGCAAGAAAUUAAGGCUGUGUUUAGUUUCAAAGUUUUUCUUCAAACUUCUAACUUUUCCAUCACAUCAAAACUUUCCUACACACACAAACUUUCAACCUUUCCAUCACAUCGUUUUAAUUUUAACCAAACUUCUAAUUUUGGCGUGAACUAAACAUGGCUUAAUGGAUGUAGCAAUACAGAGUACAUACAUACACAUGUCGAGUUUUCUAUUUACGUAAUGUAAAUUGUAAAUGGUUUAAAUGUCCGGUCUCUGCUACUAGAUGAUCAUAUACACAUGUCACAGAGAGUAUAUACUUACACAAACAGCAAUAUCUGAGCCAGAAAACCCCUCUGUUUGAUAGGCCAAGCUCACAAAAUCACCUUCAGUUAAGCUAUGUGGUGUGUCCCCAAUGUGGAUCUGGAUGAAUUAAAAGGUCCCAAGCUUUGAUCAAAGAUUAGUUAAUUAUUUGCCAUGACAGAACGUACAAAUUCUUUUUCUUAAGUUGCAUCGCACAUAUAUUAGUUUUUGCACCUUAAAAGUGUCUUUCCUUGCCUUCAAGUCAGGUAGGGGAAUGUAGAUACAUUUGUCAAACCGUCGCCGCAUAGCCUGAGAUAAUGAAUCGACAAGUUGCAUAAUGCAGUUUUUAAAAAUGUAAAUAGUGAAGAAUAAAAAUUUCCAUUAUUAAGAAAAUAGCGAAGAAUAAUAUUGACAAGUUUUCUGAAACCUGGUCCAGAACAUGUGGCAUAUUUGUAGCAGCAAGAACCAGAACUUUAUCAUUGCUAUUAUCGAAACCCUGGACAUUACAUUUAAUUUACCAAAGAAAAAAGAGAUGUGAGUAUGGUACAAAUUAAAGGGUAUGUAAACAAUUUAAUUAGUAUAACAAUUAUAGAACAUGCCUAGUCAGAUCAUAGUCAGGGCAUAUGACAGGAAGGUUCAUAGUACAGGAUGCAAGAACUCACCUGCAUUUGCACAAGAAGUUCAGUCUUGAUUCUCCGGGAAGCUUCAUUUUCAUUACAUUCUCCACGUUGGCCGCAUAAAGAAUCGAUUUCAUCGAUGAAGAUAAUGGAGGGAGCAUUUUCACGGGCCAUCUGGAAAAGAUUAGCAACUAGUUUCUCACUUUCUCCCAUCCAUUUUGAAACAAGGUCUGAUGAAGAUAUGCUGCAAGAAAACCAAAAUCGUUAACAUAACAUGAAACAGAAACAAAGAACAAAGCAUACUGCACUAGUACUAGCAGUAGCAGCAAAGAAAAGAAAGAGAAAUACAUAUGGUAAACUACUCUCUCCAUCCCUAAAUAUUUAUUUGACGCCGUUGACUUUUUUAAAUAUGUUGGACCGUUCGUCUUAUUUAAAAAAUUCAAGUAAUCAUUAAUUCUUUUCCUAUCAUUUGAUUCAUUGUUAAAUAUAUUUUUAUUUAUACAUAUAGUUUUACAUAUUUUGCAAAAGUUUAUGAAUAAAACAAACGAUUAAACAUAUUUAUAAAAGUCAACGGCGUCAAACAUUUAGGACGGAGAUAGUAUAAUGGAUGCUGCUGUGACCUGAAGAAUGUUGAAUCAACCUCGGUUGCAACAGCUUCAGCCAAAUAAGACUUUCCAGUUCCUGGUGGACCAUACAAAAGAAAAGCUUUCCAUGGGCUUCGCUUGCCUAAAGUACAUUAUCAUCUCCAAUAUUAAAAUCAAAUUAAAUUUCAAACUUUUCACCAUUAACACUUGAAACAGAAAUAAGCAGCAAACAGAUAAUGCAACAAAACAUUAGUACAGUACUAUGAAAUUUGCUCAAAGAAAAAAGAAGAAGAUAGGAUAAGGCUUUAUGGGAUUGUUGAUUACUUUUUUGGGGGGACUACUUGUUGACCACUUUGUUACAACAUCCAAACCUCCUCCCUUCGUCAUAAAAUAUAACAACCUAAAAUGGAAUGAGACACAUCCUAACAAUGUAUCUGGACAAUAUGUAUCUAGGCUGUUAUAUUUUGGGAUGGAGGUAGUACUAAUUAUAGGUGUUACUAAAUUUUAGUAUGGUACCAAAACAAAUACACUCUUGUCAUUAUCACUCUACCAAAAUUUAGUACUAUUCAACUUUGCCAAAAUUUGUUACACCAAAAUAUGCCAAGAUAUUUUGGUUAGGUUAAUUUCGACAACAAACUGAACAAGCUCUAAACAUCCUUCACCUGUAAAGAAGUGUGGAAACUUGAUAGGCAAUAUGGCGGCCUCUUGCAGUGCCUCCUUGGCGCUCUCCAAGCCGGCGACGUCGCUCCACUUGACGCUCGGCUUCGCGGCGACGAUGGCCGACCUGAGCAUGCCCCUCGGCUUGGCCUGCUCGGAGUCGCCGCCGCCGCCGCCGCCGCCGAUGUGCCCAUCGAGGACCGCGCGGAUCUCCUCGGCGCGGCGGAGGUACUCGGUGAACUUGGCGGCGAUGGCGUCCUUGAUCUUGGGGUCCUUCUCGUACUUGAGGUGGGUCUUGAAGUACUCGAGGGCGUUCAUGUAGAGCGGGAACGCCUU
rnacentral:lncRNA from 1 species